UACGGGGGGGGCAAGCGUUGUUCGGAAUUACUGGGCGUAAAGGGCGCGUAGGCGGUCAGACCAAGUCGAGUGUGAAAUUCCAGGGCUUAACUCUGGCGCGCUCGCUCGAUACUGGUCGGCUAGAGUGUGGAAGAGGAUGCUGGAAUUCCCGGUGUAGCGGUGAAAUUCGUAGAUAUUAGGAAGAACACCAGUGGCGAAGGCGGCUCACUGGUCCGGUACUGACGCUGAGGUGCGAAAGCGUGGGGAGCAAACAGG
rnacentral:rRNA from 1 species